AAGUCGUAACAAGGUCUCCGUUGGUGAACCAGCGGAGGGAUCAUUACCGAGUUUUUAACUCCCAAACCCAUGUGAAUUUACCUCUGUUGCUUCGGCGGACCGUCCCGGUGCCCCCUUGGGGCGCCGGACCUAGACGCCCGCCGGGGACCUCUAUACUCUUUGUAUUUGAGAAUUCUUCGGAAAUCGCGUACGCGCAACAAACAUUAAAACUUUCAACAAUGGAUCUCUUGGCUCUA
rnacentral:misc_RNA from 1 species